UACGUAGGAGACAAGCGUUGUCCGGAAUUACUGGGUGUAAAGCGCGUGUAGGCGGUAGGCCAAGUCUGCUGUGAAAUCGCCCGGCUCAACUGGGCGCGGUCGGUGGAAACUGGUCAACUGGAGGACGGUAGAGGCGAGUGGAAUUCCCGGUGUAGUGGUGAAAUGCGUAGAUAUCGGGAGGAACACCAGUGGCGAAGGCGACUUCCUGGCCUGUUCUUGACGCUGAGGCGCGAAAGCUAGGGGAGCAAACGGG
rnacentral:rRNA from 1 species